rfam:Photobacterium profundum SS9
GCGGGAAUGGCGGAAUUGGUAGACGCACCAGAUUUAGGUUCUGGCGCCGCAAGGUGUGAGAGUUCAAGUCUCUCUUUCCGCA